rnacentral:rRNA from 1 species
CAAUAGCGUAUAUUAAAGUUGUUGCAGUUAAAAAGCUCGUAGUUGGAUUUCGGGGCAGCCUGGCUGGUCCGCCGCAAGGCGAGUACUGGUCAGCCGCCCUUCCUCUCGAAAGCCCCGACUGCUCUUUAUUGCAGUGGUCGGGUAGUUCGGGACGUUUACUUUGAAAAAAUUAGAGUGUUCAAGGCAGGCCUACGCCUGAAUACAUUAGCAUGGAAUAAUGGAAGAGGACCUCGGUCCUAUUUUGUUGGUUCCCAGGACCGAAGUAAUGAUUAAGAGGGACAGUUGGGGGCAUUCGUAUUUAAUUGUCAGAGGUGAAAUUCUCGGAUUUAUGAAAGACGAACAACUGCGAAAGCAUUUGCCAAGGAUGUUUUCAUUAA